UACGUAGGGGGCAAGCGUUGUCCGGAUUUAUUGGGCGUAAAGAGCGUGUAGGCGGCCUAAAGGUCAGCUGUGAAAACUCGAGGCUCAACCUCGAGACGUCGGUUGAAACCAUCUGGCUAGAGUCCGGAAGAGGAGUGUGGAAUUCCCGGUGUAGCGGUGAAAUGCGCAGAUAUCGGGAAGAACACCCGUGGCCGAAGGCGGCUCUCUGGGACGGUACUGA
rnacentral:rRNA from 1 species